AAGUGUUGCUAAGGUUAACACACUCACAGACUCCAGACUGGAAGCAGUGUCUGUGACUCGACGCUUCAGUCGACAGCUGUCAGUGGAGUCAAAUAUGUCUUUAAGGAGGCCAGAUAUACCCACACUGGUUCCCUCUCAUCAUGCAACCUUGACAGCAUUU